CGACGGAGUUGGGGGCAUUUUCAUCAACUACAACAUGGAGGACAAUAGUUUGUCACAGAGUUGUGGCAGAUAGUAUAAAGAUAAUAUAUUUUGAAGCACCCAGCACAUGGGCCAAUGGCUACCCUAAAGUAAAAUGAUUCAUUGAUGACAGAAAAAAUGAGACCUUGCCAAUAAACUACUCCUAAACUAUUAAAGAAAUGAUGCUUUGAGGAUCCCAUCUUCAUUCUAAGCUUAGCAGAGUGGCUUGAAGGGCUGUUAAGGACCUGACUAAAAUCCUGUGAAGAGAGGAGGGGUAUCCCCAGUUGUUCUAACUGUGAAUAAUCCUGGAAGAAGUUCACAACAAGAGAUUCCCAGUCCCUUACCAUGAGAAGCCACCUACAACUGCCAGAGCUGAUGGGAUUAUUCCAGUUUCAUCUUCUCAAGGAGGAUUCUGAGAACCACUGAAGGAAUAAACCUGACCUGAUAGGUGAACUAUUUCAGAAGGAAAGGCAGGAGGAAGAAAUGCUGACUCUGCCUAAUCCCUAAACCAUCCUACUCUGCUCCAGUGAAGGACUGCAGAGUAUUUCCUGCAACCCAACCACAACAGGAAGACUCGGCUCUAUCCUUGGACCACCAGGGGGAUCCCAGUGUGGGCCUGAUGUGUGGGGGUGAAAGCUGCAUUGUCUCCCAGCUUCUCAACGGCCCCCAAGUUGCCAGUGAAAACAGAAGAAAUUCACAAAGCCCAGAAACCAGGGCUCAGGUUGUCAUAAGGCAGGGGUGAAAUGUUACUUCAGUUUCUACAGAUCACUAAGUUCAUUUAACCAUGGAAAUGUGAUGCUGGUAACUGCCAAGAAAAGGUGAGAUGCCAGUGACGGUCUUCAAGUGGUGAAAUGUGUCCCCUCGACUGAUUUCACCAUUUACUUUUCUGAGGUUCUAAUGGCAGAUCACAAAAAGUUAUUUUAAAAAAAAGAAGUAGUCCACUAGAUGGUGAGCUCUAUGAGGUCAGAAAGGACUACUAUUUUGUCUGUUGUUGUCAUUAUUGUUGUUGUUCAUUAUUGUACUGUUCCUGGAGCCAAGCACGGUACUCAACACAUUGCAGGCAUGAAUUAACAUUUAUUGGGUGCUUACAUGUUCUAGACACUUCUGAGAACUGGUAAUACUGUGGUAAAUAAGACAAAGCUCUUGCUUUCAUGGAGCUCACAUUCUAUUUGGGAAAGGAAAAAAUAAAUAGAAUUAAAUGAAAAAGAAAAUAUCAGAAACUGACAAGUAUCAGGGAAAGCAGGUGGCGGUGAAUUUAAAUGGCAUGGAUAGGAAGGACAGGCCUUUUUCAUUGCAUGACUGGAGCUAGCUAUGAGAAGAUCACAAGACUUCCCAUUCUUGAGUG